rnacentral:rRNA from 1 species
CCUACGGGAGGCAGCCGUGGGGAAUAUUGCACAAUGGGGGGAACCCUGAUGCAGCAACGCCGCGUGGGUGAAGAAGUACUUCGGUAUGUAAAGCCCUGUCAGCAGGGAAGAAAAUGACGGUACCUGACCAAGAAGCCCCGGCUAACUACGUGCCAGCAGCCGCGGUAAUACGUAGGGGGCAAGCGUUAUCCGGAUUUACUGGGUGUAAAGGGAGCGUAGACGGCAAGGCAAGUCUGGAGUGAAAGCCCGGGGCCCAACCACGGGACUGCUUUGGAAACUGUGUGGCUGGAGUGCAGGAGGGGUAAGCGGAAUUCCUAGUGUAGCGGUGAAAUGCGUAGAUAUUAGGAGGAACACCGGUGGCGAAGGCGGCUUACUGGACUGUAACUGACGUUGAGGCUCGAAGGCGUGGGGACCAAACAGGAUUAGAUACCCCGGUAGUC